rnacentral:piRNA from 1 species
UUGCUGAAGUUCUAGAUUCCUCUGGUGUCUU